CCUACGGGACGCAGCAGUGGGGAAUAUUGCACAAUGGGGGAAACCCUGAUGCAGCGACGCCGCGUGAAGGAAGAAGUAUUUCGGUAUGUAAACUUCUAUCAGCAGGGAAGAAAAUGACGGUACCUGACUAAGAAGCCCCGGCUAACUACGUGCCAGCAGCCGCGGUAAUACGUAGGGGGCAAGCGUUAUCCGGAUUUACUGGGUGUAAAGGGAGCGUAGGCGGUAAUGCAAGUCAGAAAUGAAAGCCCGGGGCUCAACUCCGGGACUGCUUUUGAAACUGUGUUGCGAGAUUGCAGGAGAGGUAA
rnacentral:rRNA from 1 species